GCGAUAAUAGGUGUUAAAACAGAUAGUGCCUGGUAUAUGGUGAGUGCUCACCUUAGAUCUUAUCAUUUCUCCUGUGCAGAUUAUUUUUCCAACUUUCAGAUUUUGCUUUGUGGCCACCUCCGUUGAAACCUCAUUAAAGAUUUCUCUUUGGUAUGCAACUAAGACAAAUGAAAACCUGCUCAGAUGGGGAUACUGAAAGCCAGAGAAGAUAUGAGGUUUGCAGUGGAUUCCAGCCUGUGUUGUCUGGGGCCUGAUUUCAGUGACCCUAACCUGUGAGUUUCCACUGCUCUCAUAGGACUGUCCCUGUUGCACAAGCUGAGUGUCCUGUAAAGAAACAUGACCUAGGGUUUUCCUGAUGUAUUCUCCAACUCCUUCCUGAACUGGCUGGCUCUCCAUGCUAAGCUUCACUUCCGGGUCACUAGGCAAUAAAGGCUGAGAGGUUACAUUUCAUCAGAGGGCCAGCAGACUGGAUGACAUGGACUUAAUUCAUCCCUCAUCUAUUUCAUCAUCAUGACAUCUGUUACAAUAUCUGUCCUACUUACUGCCUAUUCUUCUUUGGUAACCUGCUCCACUUGUGGGAGUGUGGGGAACAACUACAUGAUUCUGGGAGAUGACAAUGGGCCACUCUCGUGGCCACAGUAACUUGGGUUAAGGAUAAAUAUGGACUCACAAGGAGACAAUAUGAGAUUCCUUUGAAUGGAUUUAAAGGAAGGUAGGACACAGGCCAUGCUGUGACAAGCUCUGACGUGAGGCUCAGGAACCAGACAACCACUUUCCCAGUCAGGAGGAGGAAGCUGGUUAGACAGAAGCAAGCUAAGAAAAGCAAAGAUGAAUAAAAUAUCCUC
rnacentral:lncRNA from 1 species